AGGCGAAACCGCCCUUUUGGGCGGUCGUCCCGGCCAAUCGGCGACCGGGGCCUGAUGAGCCAGCCGAAA
rnacentral:hammerhead_ribozyme from 2 species